GAUGAACGCUGGCGGCGUGCCUAAUACAGGCAAGUCGAGCGAACAGACGAGGAGCUUGCUCCUCUGACGUUAGCGGCGGACGGGUGAGUAACACGUGGAUAACCUACCUAUAAGACUGGGAUAACUUCGGGAAACCGGAGCUAAUACCGGAUAACAUGUUGAACCGCAUGGUUCAACAGUGAAAGACGGUCUUGCUGUCACUUAUAGAUGGAUCCGCGCCGCAUUAGCUAGUUGGUAAGGUAACGGCUUACCAAGGCAACGAUGCGUAGCCGACCUGAGAGGGUGAUCGGCCACACUGGAACUGAGACACGGUCCAGACUCCUACGGGAGGCAGCAGUAGGGAAUCUUCCGCAAUGGGCGAAAGCCUGACGGAGCAACGCCGCGUGAGUGAAGAAGGUCUUCGGAUCGUAAAACUCUGUUAUUAGGGAAGAACAAAUGUGUAAGUAACUAUGCACGUCUUGACGGUACCUAAUCAGAAAGCCACGGCUAACUACGUG
rnacentral:rRNA from 1 species